rnacentral:rRNA from 1 species
CCUACGGGAGGCAGCAGUGGGGAAUAUUGCACAAUGGGGGAAACCCUGAUGCAGCGACGCCGCGUGAGUGAAGAAGUAUUUCGGGAUGUAAAGCUCUAUCAGCAGGGAAGAAGCAAGACGGUACCGGACGAAGAAGCCCCGGCGAACUACGUGCCAGCAGCCGCGGUAAUACGUAGGGGGCAAGCGUUCUCCGGAUUGACGGGGGGUAAAGGGAGCGGAGUCGGUAUGGCAAGGCGGAAGUGAAAGCCCAGGGCUUAACCCUGGGACUGCUUUGGAAACUGUUAGACUAGCGUGCUGGAGGGGUAAGUCGCAUUCCUUGUGUAGCUGUGCCAUGCGUAGAUAUUAGGCGGAACACCAGUGGC